GACGAACGCUGGCGGCGUGCUUAACACAUGCAAGUCGAACGGAAAGGCCCUGCUUUUGUGGGGUGCUCGAGUGGCGAACGGGUGAGUAACACGUGAGUAACCUGCCCUUGACUUUGGGAUAACUUCAGGAAACUGGGGCUAAUACCGGAUAGGAGCUCCUGCUGCAUGGUGGGGGUUGGAAAGUUUCGGCGGUUGGGGAUGGACUCGCGGCUUAUCAGCUUGUUGGUGGGGUAGCGGCUUACCAAGGCUUUGACAGGUAGCCGGCCUGAGAGGGUGACCGGCCACAUUGGGACUGAGAUACGGCCCAGACUCCUACGGGAGGCAGCAGUGGGGAAUAUUGCACAAUGGGCGGAAGCCUGAUGCAGCAACGCCGCGUGCGGGAUGACGGCCUUCGGGUUGUAAACCGCUUUCGCCUGUGACGAAGCGUGAGUGACGGUAAUGGGUAAAGAAGCACCGGCUAACUACGUG
rnacentral:rRNA from 1 species